AUUGAACGCUGGCGGCAUGCUUUACACAUGCAAGUCGAACGGUAACAGGCCUUCGGGUGCUGACGAGUGGCGAACGGGUGAGUAAUGCAUCGGAACGUGCCCAGAGGUGGGGGAUAACGCAGCGAAAGCUGUGCUAAUACCGCAUGUGAUCUGAGGAUGAAAGCGGGGGACCAGGCAGCAAUGUUUGGCCUCGCGCCUUUGGAGCGGCCGAUGUCAGAUUAGGUAGUUGGUGGGGUAAAGGCCUACCAAGCCGACGAUCUGUAGCUGGUCUGAGAGGACGACCAGCCACACUGGGACUGAGACACGGCCCAGACUCCUACGGGAGGCAGCAGUGGGGAAUUUUGGACAAUGGGCGCAGGCCUGAUCCAGCAAGGCCGCGUGCGGGAAGAAGGCCUUCGGGUUGUAAACCGCUUUUGUACGGAACGAAAAGGCUCUGGCUAAUACCUGGGGCUGAUGACGGUACCGUAAGAAUAAGCACCGGCUAACUACGUG
rnacentral:rRNA from 1 species